rnacentral:tRNA from 1 species
GGGGAUAUAGCUCAGAUGUUAGAGUGCUUGACUCGCAUGCAUAAGGCACUGGGUUCAAUCCCCAGCACCUUUA